AUUGAACGCUGGCGGCAUGCCUUACACAUGCAAGUCGAACGGUAACAGGUCUUCGGAUGCUGACGAGUGGCGAACGGGUGAGUAAUACAUCGGAACGUGCCCAGUAAUGGGGGAUAGCCCGGCGAAAGCCGGAUUAAUAGCGCAUACGCCCUGAGGGGGAAAGUGGGGGACCGCAAGGCCUCACGUUAUUGGAGCGGCCGAUGGCUGAUUAGCUAGUUGGUGAGGCAAAGGCUCACCAAGGCGACGAUCAGUAGCUGGUCUGAGAGGACGAUCAGCCACACUGGGACUGAGACACGGCCCAGACUCCUACGGGAGGCAGCAGUGGGGAAUUUUGGACAAUGGGGGAAACCCUGAUCCAGCAAUGCCGCGUGUGCGAAGAAGGCCUUCGGGUUGUAAAGCACUUUUGUCAGGGAAGAAAUCCUUUGGGCUAAUACCCUAGGGGGAUGACGGUACCUGAAGAAUAAGCACCGGCUAACUACGUGCCAGCAGCCGCCGUAAAAC
rnacentral:rRNA from 1 species